rnacentral:tRNA from 1 species
GUGCGCUUGGCAAAACCCGAAAGUGAAGCAAACACAAAAAUAAGCUCCUCGAACCCUGAGGAAGCAUCUGUGCAAAUCAGAUCACU